rnacentral:rRNA from 2 species
UCCGUAGGUGAACCUGCGGAAGGAUCAUUAAGAAUGGGAGGGGGGGUUGAGGUAGGUAGGAGGUUAUCUUUAGGAUCGUCCUACCUUUCACCCUUCUCUAAUUGAACGCAUCUAUAGAGAUGGGCAAAGUCUAUGGAAGCUUAUUCCUUGCUGGCUUUAAUGGGCUGGCAGGCUGGGGGUUGGUUGGUUUGGUGGUUGACUGGUUGGUUUGGUUGGUUGGUUUUGGUUGGGCUUAUGGCCUGGCUGAUUGAUUGACUGGCUGACUGGUUGGUUAGGCAUAUUGGCCUAACUGGUUGGGGUUGGGCUUAUGGCCUGACUGGACUAGUUAGGCUUUUGCCUCUUAGGCUAGACUGUUAGCCUUUAGCAAAAAGGAAUAAGAAAUUUUUAUAUACACUAAGUUAUUUGAUCUGAAAUGUUAGACCAUAUUGACUUAUGGUUGUUUUUUUUAUAUAUAUUAAAAAAGAACAACUUUCAGCAAUGGAUCUCUCGGCUUUCGUAUCGAUGAAGAACGCAGCAAAUCGCGAUAUGUAGUGUGAUCUGCCUAUAGUGAAUCAUCAAAUCUUUGAACGCAUCUUGCACCUUAUGGUAUUCCAUAAGGUACGUCUGUUUCAGUACCAUUAAAAAUCUCUCCAACUUUCUUCCCUCUUAGUGGGGGGAGAAAGAAGGACCAAGAGAUGGGUUGUUACUGGUUCUGGUGAUGUUCGCAUCAUUCUCAACCGGAAUAUCAAGGCUUGAUCUUUGGGCUUUAAUGAAAUUUUUUUCUUAAAAGUCUUUGGGAUCAGAAAUAUCUUUCAAAAGUCUUGGCCUGAAAUCAGAUGGGACUACCCGCUGAACUUAAGCAUAUCAAUAAGCGGAGGA